rnacentral:rRNA from 1 species
AAGACGGAAGACGGAAGGAAGGUCCUGCUGCGAAGCGGCGUUCUUCCGUCUUCCUAACUCCCGUCUUCGUUCUUCCUACGGUUUUUGUGGUGGCUUCGGGAGGGGCUUGCGGCCUAUCAGGUAGUUGGUGGGGUAACGGCCUACCAAGCCAUCGACGGGUAGCUGGUCUGAGAGGAUGGUCAGCCGGACUGGGACUGCGAUACGGCCCAG